rnacentral:rRNA from 1 species
GAUGAACGCUGGCGGCGUGCUUAACACAUGCAAGUCGAACGGAGUUUUAGUAAAUGAUUGAUUUAGCUUGCUAUUGAGAGAUUUUGCUAAAACUUAGUGGCGGACGGGUGAGUAACGCGUGGGUAACCUGCCGUAUACAGGGGGACAACAGUUGGAAACGACUGCUAAUACCGCAUAAGCGCACAGUACUGCAUGGUACAGUGUGAAAAACUCCGGUGGUAUACGAUGGACCCGCGUCUGAUUAGCUGGUUGGUGAGGUAACGGCCCACCAAGGCGACGAUCAGUAGCCGGUCUGAGAGGAUGAACGGCCACAUUUGGGACUGAGAUACGGCCCAGACUCCUACGGGAGGCAGCAGUGGGGAAUAUUGGGCAAUGGGGGAAACCCUGACCCAGCAACGCCGCGUGAAGGAAGAAGGCCUCGGUGUAACUCUUACUAGGACGGAAGAACGUAGACGGUACCGUCGG